rfam:Human astrovirus type 8 orf2 gene for capsid protein
GGAAGCCGCGACCACGCCGAGUAGGAUCGAGGGUACAGCUUCC